CUGCGGAAGGAUCAUUACCGAAUUGUCAACACGAGUUGUUGCUGGUCCUCAAAACGGGGGCAUGUGCACACUCUGUUCACACAUCCACUCACACCUGUGCACCCUCUGUAGUUCUGUGGCAUGGGGGACUCUGUCCUCCUGUUGUGGUCCUACGUCUUUACACACACUCUGUAACAAAGUCUCAUGGAAUGCAUGACGCGUUUAACGCAAUACAAUACAACUUUCAGCAACGGAUCUCUUGGCUCUCGCAUCGAUGAAGAACGCAGCGAAAUGCGAUAAGUAAUGUGAAUUGCAGAAUUCAGUGAAUCAUCGAAUCUUUGAACGCACCUUGCGCCCUUUGGCUAUUCCGAAGGGCAUGCCUGUUUGAGUAUCAUGAACACUUCAACUCUCAUGGUUUGCCAUGAUGAGCUUGGACUUUGGAGGUCUUGCCGGCCUGUGGUCGGCUCCUCUCAAAUGGAUCAGCUUGCCAGUGUUCGGUGGCAUCAUGGGUGUGAUAACUAUCUACGCCUGUGGUUUUCCACCGGAUAACCUUCAGUGACGGAGGUUCGCUGGAGCUCAUAAAUGUCUCUCCUCAGUGAAGACAGCCUUUUGAACGUUUGAUCUCAAAUCAGGUAGGACUACCCGCUGAACUUAAGCAUA
rnacentral:rRNA from 1 species